CUGAGCUCAGUGGACACUUGGACACCUCUUAUGUUCUCCUGCAGAUGGAAACUUGACCGUUAGAAGUCUACAGUUACCCACUCAAGACCUCUUCAAGACCCUGGGCUGAAAAUCUCCACACUUAAGUGCUAAGCAGAAACUAAGUUAUUUCGAUGCACAAGCUAUGUAAUACUAACAAAAUGGAUAUAAAAAGAGGAAAAAAUCUGAGCUCAUUGGAUACUUGAACACCUCUCAUGUUUCCCUGAAGACGGGAAGUUGGCCACUGGAAGUCUAGUGACCCUGGAUUUGAAUACCAGCAUUUAUCUGCAUGCACUUCAGCUGUAGCUUUAAAUGAAUGGUGGAAGGAUAAGUUGGAGCAGCUUGGCAUAGCUGUGACUGUGAUCCGCAGAGAGAUGCAUGUGAAACCAGAUGGAACAGGUAUUCCUCAUUUCAGUGCUGAGCAUUGUAGAUUGUGUUAAUAAAAAGUGACAAGUGUGUGUUCUUGUGUCACGGAGUCACCAGGCGAUGCUUUGGAACUACUUCAUAUGAAGCCAGUUAGGACUGCUUUGAGCAGGGGGUUGGACUAGAUGACCUCCUGAGGUCCCUUCCAACCCUGAUAUUCUAUGACUCUGGGGGAGCCUCCUCUCUCUGAGCAUAUGGUCUCCGGUGCAAGAAGCUUACACAGCUUCGGCCUUCCUGGGGCUGACCUUGGAGCAUUCAGCAUCCCCUUUUCACACCGUGCACUUCCCACAGCGAGUCUGCACCUGCAGGGCUCCUGGGGAAGCCAGGGGGCCCUGCACCCCAAUUCCGCAGUCAGACAUGACUCUCAGCCAGCGUAAAAGAGGAGGUUUAUUUUUAGACAGGACCACAGCAUAGAACAAAGCUUGU